AAGGCCAAUAACUGAGAUUCAUCCAAUUGGAAAUUCUCCUGUCAUUGUUGAUCGAGAAGGGACUUCUGAAAAAGAUAACUCCUACAUGGACGAAUGAAGGAGGACCCUGAAGCUGAUUAAGCUUUUGGCUGGGUACUUGAGAUGGGUUCUAAUUAGCAACCAAAUGAGUAGCAGUUUACUAGCAGACAGAUCAUUGGAUCAAUAUUUGCUUAGGGGAGCAAACUAAAUCCAAUACAGAAUACUUAGUUGUUCUCUCAAUCUUAUUUCACUAUUUUUUGUUUAGUUUGUAUUUUUUUUUUUUUGGUGA